rnacentral:hammerhead_ribozyme from 1 species
GCCCAGCUGAAGAGUCCGGAACAGGACGAAACGCACGUUCUGAAU